AUUUCGUCCCAAAAACCUUGCAAAAACACGAUUAAGAUCAAGAUCUAAGCUACAGAGCGAUUGAAAACACAACCACAAUUCAUAUGCAUGAAUCAAUCGAAGAGGUAAAAAGGUGAGGGACCGGGAGUUGACCUGACCACCGACGGCGAUGGCGACGACCUGCAUCGCAACUUGCGUCUGCAUCUGAAUCUGGCCUUGAUAGAGGUUUCUGGUAAAACUAGAGAGAGAGCUGCACCUGCAUCAAACUCGCAGCUGCACCUGCAUCGCGACUUGCGUCUGCAUCUGAAUCUAGCCUUGCUAGAGGUUUCUGGAAAAACUAAAGAGAGAGAGAGAGAGAGAGAGAAAGAGAGAUUUUCUGGGUUUGUGUGUAAAGGGUCACCGGCUGAUAAGAUAUUAAGCUGUGGGUUUGAAU
rnacentral:lncRNA from 1 species